ACAAGUAAUUCCUCAUACUGGUGGCUCUAAACCUAUCUCAAGAAGAAGACAUGAGAUGCUUUUGGAUAGUGGAAAACUGCCUAGUCGUGGAAUGUUAUAUAUUGAAACUCAUAAAAAAAAAGAUGGCUCAUUUGUAAAUGAGGCGGCAAAGGCUAUAGCGGAACAAAUUGAAGUGGGUUUGAGUCAAAGCACUACUGAUGAAUCACAGGUUUCCCC